rnacentral:rRNA from 1 species
CUACGGGACGCACCAGUGAGGAAUAUUGCACAAUGGGGGAAACCCUGAUGCAGCAACGCCGCGUGGAGGAUGACGCAUUUCGGUGUGUAAACUCCUUUUAUCAGAGAAGAAAAUGACGGUAUCUGACGAAUAAGCUCCGGCUAACUCCGUGCCAGCAGCCGCGGUAAUAGCGGAGGGAGCAAGCGUUAUUCGGAAUCACUGGGCGUAAAGGACGCGUAGGCGGGUUUUUAAGUCAGGUGUGAAAUCCUAUGGCUCAACCAUAGAACUGCACUUGAAACUGGGGACCUAGAGUAUGGAAGGGGCAGGUGGAAUUAGUGGUGUGGGGGUAAAAUCCGUAGAUAUCACUAGGAAUACCGAAAGCGAAGGCGACCUGCUGGGACAUUACUGACGCUGAGGCGUGAAAGCGUGGGGAGCAAACAGGAUUAGAUACCCUGGUAGUC